rnacentral:rRNA from 1 species
GAUGAACGCUGGCGGCGUGCCUAAUACAUGCAAGUCGAGCGAACGGACGCGAAGCUUGCUUCUCUGUUGUUUGCGGCGGACGGGUGUGUCACACGUGUAUACCCCCCCUAUAAGACUGGUAUAUCUUCGGGAAACCGGCUCUUAUCCCGUAUGAGAUUUUGAACCGUGUUGUUGAAGAGUGAAAGACGGUCUUUCUGUCACUUAUAGCUGGAUCCGCGCUGCAUUAGCUAGUUGGGAAGUACACGGCUUACCAAGGCAACGAUGCCUAGCCGAACUGAGAGAGGGAUCGGCCACACGGGAGCUGAGACGCGGACAAGACGCCUAAGAGAGGCAGCAGAAGGGAAUGUGCCGCAAUGGGCGAAAGCCUGACGGAGUAGCGGCGCGUGAGUGAUGAAGGUCUUGGGAUCGUGAAGCUGUGUUAUGAGGGGAGAACAGAUGUGUAAGUAACUGUGCAGAUCGUGACGGUACCUAGUCAGAAAGCCACGGCUAACUACGUG